rnacentral:lncRNA from 1 species
AAACAGCUCGAGGAAUUCCCCGAAAGGGGAAACCCUGGGGUUAGGUGAUUAAAUUGCUCGCAAAAGCUUGACUUUCUCAGCUGCUUCUUACCCACCACCAGCCUCAUCCUUGCACUUGGGGGACAGUCUCUGAGCCCAGCAGAUCUUGCAGGCUGCUGCUUGCUGCUGCCUGUUGCUCUUGCACUAAGGCAUUUGCACCAUCCUGCUACCCUCUCCUCCAGCCCACUCAUGCGGGGGAGUCUAUUGCUCGCACCUGCCUGUGUUUGCCAUCAGAUACCUCCUAGCAGCUGAGGAGGAGGCUCAAAACGGCUCUUUCCAUCCUCAGGCAGUGCUCUCAAGACAACAUGUGGGGCUGCAAGCAUGGCAGCACAAAGCAAGGAGUCCUCCUAGCCUCUUCUCCGUAGGGGAAUCUCUCCUGGCCACCAGCCUGCUCUGCAUAGCACCGUGUACUUGCAACGACUGGCAUGCAAGAUACAAGCUUUCCCAGGCCAGCAACACCUGAUUUUAAGGAAAGGAAGGGGAAAGGGCACUGCCGUGUAUCCAGAUCUCCAGCCUGGAAGCCAAAGCUCUUUGCAAAGGAGGUGAUGUGGGAGAUGGGGAGCAGCAUCACUCCGUCCAGGGCUCUGCCGUCGGGAAAGCCGGGCUGCAAACUGGUCCCCCUGCCCCGCGCCGCCGCGGCAAGCUGCUGGCAACCACAAGGGUUGCGUUGGUGGUAACAGUCUGCGAGGCGUCAGUCCAAAUUGGGCUGAACGCGGCUUCCUUGUCAGCAGAAAGCGAACUGGAACGACGCAUCCUCCACGAAGAAACGCGCAGAGGAGCCGGAGCCGGCUGCGCGUUUGGGCAGGGAAUAGGUUUUUCCUAGGCGGGCUCCACGUCUGCGGAUUUUGCAGAAGGUUGUGAGCGCACAGCUAAAGCACUUUACUCUGCAGACUUCUGCAAUAUUAGGCAGAAAAGGCGCAGCUACCCUUUAAACAGCACCCGUGCCUUUCUGUCCAGUGGCUCCUUCCGGAUUGAGAAACCCAAAAGGGAAGAGAAAAAUCCAUCUCCUCUGUAACCUGCUGCUUGGCAAAACGGCAUCAGGCUCCUGCAAACGCCCAGGUGCAAUGAUGUGCAACACGACAACGGCAACCGCACCGGCAAGCGGGGUAUUGUUAUGUUAGAGCACGUGUUAAGGAAGAGAAAUGCAAUGUCCCCGUUUCACUACGCUCGACGGCCGUUUCUAAAGGAGAAGCUGAGACCUGGGCCCUUGGUGCCGGGCAAGGUGUGCGGCGUGUUCGGUCCUCCGGGAUCGCAUCCCUCCCAGCCGAGGAAACCUCGAAGAACCGACAAGGGAAAAAUUGUUGGGGAACGGGGGAAAAGGGAAGCAGCUUAGUCGAAUUGGGCUGUUACGAAAUAAA